CGAAAUUAGCAGUAACAACCCUCAGUGUCCCCGGUCACCGUUGUCUGUUUCUGAAUUUCGUAUGAAAUAUGGAUAUCGUUACAGCAAAAUCGAUGGUCUAGCACUCCACGAUGUACCUGGCGAUGGUAACAACACUUUUGCUCAUCUAGAGAUGCGGCAGUUGACGCGGUGAAGUGAAAGCGCAUCGUGGCUUUUAAAAUGCAAAUGUAAACAGCAACCCAGACAGCAAUUUACACUCUUGACAUAGGUUCAACAUACGCCAGCAGUGAUGUUUGGCGUGGUGCAGUGGUAAGAUGCUUGUCUCGGAACCGUCAGGUCCAAAGUUCGAAUCCUAGGCAAAAAGCAUUUUUUUUUCUACUUUUAUUUUUUUAUUUUAUUUCGUAUUAAUAAUUUUACAUAACCUUAAAAUUACCUCUGUCAAUUUUUAAUCAAAUAUUGAUCAGGAACUACAGAAUUUUCGACUACAGGGCGUCACACUACAGAGAACAGAACGACAGUCACAACGUCCCAAAAUACGACAGACUGAAAAUUUGCUGUUGUGUUUUUCAAGUGGGUGAGACGUCUAUACGGCGUAUACGCAGAUUGCUGUCCUCUCUAUUAAAAGCAACGUUGCUGAAACACGUCGUACAAGACGCUGUACGACUCGCAUAACAUCGAAAUACAACGCCGUCACCAUCCAUGAGAUCACCGAAAGCACGGUCGCUUUCGGUGGCGGCCUACAGAUGGCAGCACAGGUAGCGCCGGUAAAGUUACAGGUGAUAUUAUUUUGCCGUCCUCAGUUGUCGCCACAUGUGAGUGCUUGCUGCAUUGACGCCGUCCGAUGUAGUUGUUUAAUCAUGUGUACGCUGUGCCGAGAGAAAUUGUGGUGCAUUUUGUAUGCAUUGAGAAUCACAAAACCCCUGGGACCGCGUAAUGUAGCCCGCAGUAUCCUUCGUGUGGUGCGCCGAUGUCGAAGAUAUGACCCUUCGCGCUUCCUUUGUUCCGGGCUCAUGAACAGGAUCUCCUCCUCUGGCACUGUCGCAUCGUAUCGCGCUGUACGGAAGAAUUUGGUGAAAGUUGUGCUCUUACGUCCUGUAGUUGAUCCGCAAUUCAACAGUGUGUGCGCCGGAAGGACCGUUGGUGCAGUCGAUGCCGCGGCACCUGUGACGCUAAAAGGAGCGUUUUCCGAGUACGCCUAGAAAGGGAUGGCAAGAUUUUGUGAACCAGAGGCACCUCCACAUAUGCACCUGCGGCACUUCUGCAGCCUCAACAGCACGGAAAAGUACCUGAUGUGCAUGCUGUGACAAGCUGCUGUAGGUAUGGCUGGACCUGGAAAAGAAGUGUAAGCAGACCAUGCUAUGUUGCUGAUCUGCGCUGAUCUCCACAUCCAAGUUGGUCCCGCGACAGUUGGGCACCAUUGUGCCUUGCUUCAUUGACAAGGUGAUAUAAUAUGGUGCCCUGCUCGCUCUCACCCAAGCAACCCACUCCAGCGGUCUUCUCUCGGCAGACUGGAUGCAUCGAAAUACCGUUAGAAGGUCCAAUAAACAGUGCUUGGGACAUUUA